rnacentral:rRNA from 1 species
GACGAACCGUGCGACCGUUAUUCGGAAUCACUGGGCUUAAAGCGCGUGUAGGCGGAUGGGAACGUCGGCUUCUGAAAGCCCCCGGCUCAACCGGGGAAGUGGGGCCGAAACGACCCGUCUCGAGGGACGUAGGGGGAUCUGGAACUUCCGGUGGAGCGGUGAAAUGCGUUGAGAUCGGAAGGAACACCUGUGGCGAAAGCGGCUCACUGGACCACAACUGACGCUGAGGCGCGAAAGCUAGGGGAGCAAACAGG